rnacentral:rRNA from 1 species
GCCCAGCCGUAAACAAUUAAUUUACACCUAUAAGCGCCAGGGAAUUACGAGCCACGCUUAAAACCCAAAGGAUUUGACGGUGUCCCACCCACCUAGAGGAGCCUGUUCUACAAUCGACAAUACCCGCUAUACCUAACCCCCUCUUGCUAUUCAGUCUGUAUACCUCCGUCGAAAGCUUACCAUGUGAACGUUUACAGUAAGUACAAUAGCCCCUCAACGGCAACACGUCAGGUCAAGGUGCAACUUAAGUGGUGGGAAGCAAUUGGCUACAAUUUCUAGUCUAGAACAAACGGAAAACUAUGUGAAAUCAUGGUCAUGAAGGCGGAUUUAGCAGUAAAAAGAAAAUAGAGUGUUCUUUUUAACCUGGCUCUGGGACGCGUACACACCGCCCGUCACUCUCUUCGAUAGUAUUACAAACAGUCCAUAACCAAUCUACACGUUUUAGAAGAGGGAAGUCGUAACAUGGUAAGUGUACUGGAAAGUGCACUUGGAAUAAACAAAAUGUAGCUUAACAAAGCUCUUCGCUUACACCGAGAAGAUAUCUGUUCAAAUCAGAUCAUUUUGAGCCUCAAAUCUAGCCCACAUGACCCGCAUGAAAACCUUAAACUACUGAAAAAAAUAAAUCAUUUUAACAUUCUAGUAUAGGUGAUAGAAAAAUUACUAAGCGCCUUAGAAAUAGUACCGCAAGGGAAAUAUGAAAUAGAAGUGAAACAAUAUAACAGCCACAAACAGCAGAGACAUCACCUUG